rnacentral:sRNA from 1 species
UGUCAUUUUUUUUUUCAAAGCUAGGUUGAGAAAAAAGAAAUAAAUCAUGUUGAUUAAUGCACAUUAGCUUUGCACUUGAAAAACUUUUUUAUGUCGACUCGAUCGUUUGUCAAAUUUGGGUAUUUCAAACACGCCAUUAAGAUAAAUUUGUUAGAGCUCUACUAUAUAUAUUUUUUGCCUGAUUCAUUCAAGUCAAAACAUCUUACUUUGAAUUGUUAAUAUCAAACCUCUGAAGGUACAGAAGGUUGAAAAAAUAUUUUUAAAAUAUUAUGCAAAAAAAAAGCAUAUCAAGAAAUUCCAAAUUUAUUAAAUUAAUCUAAAUCUUUUCAAAAUCAAUGGACUGGCGACUUAAAGUUGAUGACAAUUCUUGAAAAAAUGUUUGUAUUCAAAGAAUGUAUCCUUAGUCUAGUGAAAAAAAGUGACCUACUUUUGCAGCCCCGUGACUGUACUUGUACUACGGUAUUUUAUAUGUGUUAUGAUUUGGCCAGUGAACAGAGUAACAGCAUUAAACUUAUAUUCGAUUCAAUCAUUUUGAUCUAGUCAAUCCAUUAAUUUUUUUUUUAAUUGUCACUGAUCCUAAUUGUUUGAGUACUUCUUUAUCUGCUGAACUCUGCUGAUUAGGGAUAGUCAACAUUUGUUUUUAGGCAUUAAAUAAAUUAUUUUCAAAAAUAAAUCAUAUUAAUGAAAUGACGUAUACAAUUCAUGAUGAUUAAAAAAAAUACUGCUUUCGUUGUUACAAUUAGUUAUGCAUGUAUUAUAUACAUGCUUAUUUUAGUGUUACUGUUACAAAUGGUUAUGCAUAUAAUAUAAACAUGCAUUUUUUUUUUUAUAUUAGCUGUGUUUUGUAAGCCUUAUGUGUGCUUGUUUUAUAAUGCUGAAUAAAUGUUAUGUAAAAUCUCAGCCAGAGAAAGCAAUAUGACCAGGGUAUUUUUACACCCAUGUGCAACAGAGAUGAUUAUAUAUAAACCAACCAUAUUACAUGACUGUAUACGUGAACUGAUAUUAAACCAAAGUCACUGUAUAUCAUAUG